ensembl:misc_RNA
UUGACAGCAGUGGAGAUUGUGGAGAUUGGAAUUUUAUUUAUCCCUAGAGUAGGUGCAGUGCAGACUGCAGUAGUGCAAAAAUUUCCUGUAUUAUUCUGCUGUUGCACCCUGCUCGUGCCCUUCACAGGCAGCCUCUUGGGGCGAGGAGCUCCUCCUCCUCUGCUCCCCUUCAAAAGGCUGGCUGCC